rnacentral:rRNA from 1 species
CCUACGGGAGGCUGCAGUGGGGAAUAUUGCGCAAUGGGCGAAAGCCUGACGCAGCGACGCCGCGUGAGGGAUGAAGGUCUUCGGAUCGUAAACCUCUGUCAGCAGGGAAGAACGGUCACUGUGCUAACCAGCAGUGCAUUGACGGUACCUGCAAAGGCAGCACCGGCUAACUCCGUGCCAGCAGCCGCGGUAAUACGGAGGGUGCGAGCGUUCAUCGGAAUUACUGGGCGUAAAGCGCUCGUAGGCGGUAUGUCAAGUCAAGGGUGAAAUCCCCGCGCUCAACGUGGGAACUGCCUUUGAAACGGGCAAACUGGAGUGUGUGAGAGGAUAGUGGAAUUCCAGGUGGAGGGGUGAAAUCCGUAGAUAUCUGGAGGAACAUCAGUGGCGAAGGCGACUAUCUGGCACAUAACUGACGCUGAGGAGCGAAAGCGUGGGUAGCAAACAGGAUUAGAUACCCGAGUAGUC